GCGAUUUUUCAGGAUGUUUUUUGUCCGCUUCCCAACAUGCCCUCCUAUCACACCUUCGGGUCACCUAGGAGAGGAAACAAAAACCUGUC
rnacentral:telomerase_RNA from 1 species